rnacentral:misc_RNA from 1 species
GAUGAAGAACGUAGCGAAAUGCGAUAAGUAGUGUGAAUUGCAGAAUUCAGUGAAUCAUCGAAUCUUUGAACGCACAUUGCGCCCCUUGGUAUUCCAUGGGGCAUGCCUGUUCGAGCGUCAUUUGUACCUUCAAGCUUUGCUUGGUGUUGGGUGUUUGUCUCGCCUUUGCGUGUAGACUCGCCUUAAAAUAAUUGGCAGCCGGCGCAUUGAUUUCGGAGCGCAGUACAUCUCGCGCUUUGCACUCAUAACGACAGCGUCCAAAAGUACAUUUUACACUCUUGACCUCGGAUCAGGUAGGGAUACCCGCUGAACUUAAGCAUAUCAAUAAGCGGAGGA